UACAGAGGUGUCAAGCGUUGUUCGGAAUCACUGGGCGUAAAGCGCACGUAGGCGGAUGUGCCAGUCAGGGGUGAAAUCCCGGGAGCUCAACUCCGGAACUGCCUCUGAUCACAGCACGUCUUGAGUUCGAGAGAGGUGGGUGGAAUUCCUAGUGUAGAGGUGAAAUUCGUAGAUAUUAGGAAGAACACCGGUGGCGAAGGCGGCCCACUGGCUCGAUACUGACGCUGAGGUGCGAAAGCGUGGGGAGCAAACAGG
rnacentral:rRNA from 1 species